GCACGGGUGAGUAAUACAUGGGUAAUCUGCCCUAUGGGAUGGGAUAACCAAGAGAAAUUUUGGCUAAUACCGUAUAAGCAGCACUAGAUGAACUAGUGCUGGAAAGGAGGGGACCGCAAGGCCUUCCGCCAAAGGAUGAGCUCAUGUCCCAUUAGCUAGUUGGGGGGGUAACGGCCCACCAAGGCGAAGAUGGGUAGCUGGUCUGAGAGGACGAUCAGCCACACUGGAACUGAGACACGGUCCAGACUCC
rnacentral:rRNA from 1 species